GGUUUGUACUGGUUUCGACGGGGAUUUUGAAGUUUGGGAAGCCAUCCGCAGACUCCGGAGCUGCGCAAAAAGCCGGAAACUAAAUAUAAACGCAGACGAAGAAAACUUCGCAAUCGCUGCCUAAGCGCAGCUUGUCACCAUCAGAUUGCUCACUGUCUGAUGACUGGCAUCGACCUAAGUGGGAAACUCCGCUGCCAAAGCUUUGAGGCUGCGGAAGAUUUAUGAAGCUACUGAUGCUUUGAGCCUGUUUGUGGGCGCAGGGCAGAGGGAAUGUUAAAACACAGACUGUGAUGGGAGAUGCCUGGAUGAAUGAGUCUUCGGACAGGGGUUCGAUUCCCCUCAGAUCCA
rnacentral:tmRNA from 1 species